rnacentral:rRNA from 1 species
GACGAACGCUGGCGGCGUGCUUAACACAUGCAAGUCGAACGGAAAGGCCUGCUUUCCCUUGUGGAUUGCGGGUACUCGAGUGGCGAACGGGUGAGUAACACGUGAGUGAUCUGCCCCCAACUUGGGUAUAAGCCUGGGAAACUGCGUCUAAUUCCCGAUAGGACUGCAGGGUGGUUCCUGUGUUGGGAUACGAUUUUCUAGUGGUUGGGGAUGAGCUCGCGGCCUAUCAGCUUGUUGGUGGGGUAAUGGCCUACCAAGGCGGCGACGGGUAGCCGGACUGAGAGGGUGGACGGUCAAAUUGGGACUGAGAUACGGCCCAGACUCCUACGAGAGGCAGCAGUGGGGAAUAUUGCACAGUGGGCGGAAGCCUGAUGCAGCGACGCCGCGUGGGGGAUGACGGCCUUCGGGUUGUAAACUCCUUUCGACCGCGAGGAAGCCACCUGGUUGGAAGGGUGGUGACGGUAGUGGUAGAAGAAGCACCGGCUAACUACGUG